GAUGAACGCUGGCGGCGUGCCUAAUACAUGCAAGUCGAGCGAACAGACGAGGAGCUUGCUCCUCUGACGUUAGCGGCGGACGGGUGAGUAACACGUGGAUAACCUACCUAUAAGACUGGGAUAACUUCGGGAAACCGGAGCUAAUACCGGAUAAUAUAUUGAACCGCAUGGUUCAAUAGUGAAAGACGGUUUUGCUGUCACUUAUAGAUGGAUCCGCGCCGCAUUAGCUAGUUGGUAAGGUAACGGCUUACCAAGGCAACGAUGCGUAGCCGACCUGAGAGGGUGAGCGGCCACACUGGAACUGAGACACGGUCCAGACUCCUACGGGAGGCAGCAGUAGGGAAUCUUCCGCAAUGGGCGAAAGCCUGACGGAGCAACGCCGCGUGAGUGAUGAAGGUCUUCGGAUCGUAAAACUCUGUUAUUAGGGAAGAACAAAUGUGUAAGUAACUAUGCACGUCUUGACGGUACCUAAUCAGAAAGCCACGGCUAACUACG
rnacentral:rRNA from 1 species